ACGCGAAAGUCCCCUUCGGGGGACAAGUAGAGUGGCGCACGGGUGAGUAACACGUAGGUAAUCUACCUUCGGGUGGGGAAUAACCCCGGGAAACCGGGGCUAAUACCGCAUAAUGCAGCGGCACCUAAUGGUGACAGUUGUUAAAGCGGGGGAUCGCAAGAUCUCGCGCCUGAAGAGGAGCCUGCGGCGGAUUAGCUAGUUGGCAGGGUAACGGCCUACCAAGGCGACGAUCCGUAGCCGGCCUGAGAGGGCGGUCGGCCACACUGACACUGACAUACGGGUCAGACUCCUACGGGAGGCAGCAGUCGGGAAUUUUGGGCAAUGGGCGAAAGCCUGACCCAGCAACGCCGCGUGAAGGAUGAAAUCCCUCGGGAUGUAAACUUCGCAAGAACGGGAAGAAUAAGUUUGUGCUAACACCACAAGCGAUGACGGUACUGUUUGUAAGCUCCGGCUAACUCCGUGCCAGCAGCCGCGGUAAUACGGGGGGAGCAAGCGUUGUUCGGAUUUACUGGGCGUAAAGGGCGCGUAGGCGGCCUCCGCAAGUCAGUUGUGAAAUCUCCGAGCUUAACUCGGAAAGGUCAACUGAUACUGCGGGGCUAGAGUGCGGAAGGGGCAACUGGAAUUCUUGGUGUAGCGGUGAAAUGCGUAGAUAUCAAGAGGAACACCUGCGGCGAAGGCGGGUUGCUGGGCCGACACUGAC
rnacentral:rRNA from 1 species